rnacentral:rRNA from 1 species
GGUAAAUAAAAGCACAAGCUCUAAAUUCUAAGGACUUGGCGGUGCUUGAGAACCCCCUAGAGGAGCCUGUCCUAUAACCGACAAUACCCGUUAAACCUCGCCUUCUUAACUUAGCCUAUAUAUCGCCGUCGUCAGCUUACCCUUUGAGGGCUCUAAAGUAUGCAAAACUGGUUUUGCCCCGGACGUCAGGUCAUGAUGUAGCGAAUAAGAAGAGAAGAGAUGGGCUACACUUCCUUCAAAGGAUAAACAGAUAAUGUUUUGAAACAAACAAUUUUAAGUCGGAUUUAGUAGUAAGUAGAAAAUAGAGUGUUCUACUGAAACUGGCUCUUAAGCGCGCACAUACCGCCCGUCACUCUCUCCUACAUUAAGCACAUAAUACAUAAUAAACUAAUAAUAACUAAGGGGGGAGAAGUCGUAACAUGGUAAGUGUACUGGAAAGUGCACUUGGAUCAAU